CCUACGAGUGGCUGCAGUAGGGACUUUUCGGCAAUGGGGGGAACCCUGACCGAGCAACGCCGCGUGAACGAAGAAGUUAUUCGUAAUGUAAAGUUCUUUUAACAGGGAAGACAGAGAAAUUUGACGGUACCUGAAGAAUAAUCUCCGGCUACCUACGUGCCAGCAGCCGCGGUAAUACGUAGGGUGCGAGCGUUAUCCGGAAUUAUUGGGCGUAAAGAGUGCGUAGAUGGCAUAGUACGUCUUUUGUAAAAAUGCUGGGCACAACCCAGUAGGGCAAAAGAUACUGCAAAGCUAGAGUAUGACAGAGGCAAGUGGAACUACAUGUGUAGCGGUAAAAUGCGUAAAUAUAUGUAAGAACACCAGUGGCGAAGGCGGCUUGCUGGGUCGAUACUGACAUUGAGGCACGAAAGCGUGGGGAGCAAACAGGAUUAGAUACCCUUGUAGUC
rnacentral:rRNA from 1 species